CCGCGGUAUUCCAGCUCCAAUAGCGUAUAUUAAUGCUGCUGCUGUUAAAAAGCUCGUAGUUGGAUCAAGAGCUCGGCAGUGCUCAGGACCCCAGGGUUCGGCUUCGUGUCGUCCUUGUGGGAACUCUCUUGGGCAUUUCCGCUGCCGACUCUAAAGUGCUGAAACGGUUCCCUGCGAAAAGGUUCCUUCAUUGGGACUAAAGCAUUCCGCAUAAACCAUGUGCAGGUCGGGACGUCGGCAACUGUUACUGUGAACAAACCAGCGUGUCCAAAGCAGGCUAUCGCCUCUAUGUUCGAGCAUGGAAUAGCAAGGGAGCGAUUUACUCGGUCCUCUUUGUUGGUUUCUAUCCCGAGAAGGAGUAAUCGUGACCACGAUUUCCGAGUUGGGAUAUCAUGCCUUUUGGUUUGCCUCAACUUGGGUCGUGUUCUACCCGGGAUCAAUAGGGAUUAUCGGGGUCGUAUCUACUAUGACGUCAGAGGUGAAAUUCUUAGAUCGUCGUAAGAGAAGCUUCUGCGAAAGCAUUCGACAAGAAUGUCUUCAUUAAUCAAGAACGAGAGUGUGGGGAUCGAAGAUGAUCAGAUACCGUCGUAGUCCACCACUGUAAACAAUGCCAUCUCAGGAUCAACGAGCGAAUUCAACGACCUCGAUGGCACUUACCCCUGAGACGAGAAAUCAAAGAUUAUGGGUUCAGGGGGGAGUACAAUCGCAAGGCUGAAACUUAAAGGAAUUGACGGAAUGACACCACCAGGCGUGGAGUAUGCGGCUUAAUUUGACUCAACACGGGAAAUUUUACUAGGUCAGGACAGUGUAAGGAUUGACAGAUUGAGAGCUCUUUCUCGAUCCAUUGUAUGGUGGUGCAUGGCCGCUCCUGGUUGGUGGAGUGAUUUGUCUGGUUGAUUCCGUUAACGAACGAGAUCUCGACUCAUAAAUAGGUGCCAGUGUCGUUUUGUAGUCUGAUCA
rnacentral:rRNA from 1 species